AACGAACGCUGGCGGCAUGCCUAACACAUGCAAGUCGAACGGGUACCUUCGGGUGCUAGUGGCGCACGGGUGCGUAACGCGUGGGAAUCUGCCCUUGGGUUCGGAAUAACUCAGCGAAAGCUGUGCUAAUACCGGAUGAUGUCGAAAGACCAAAGAUUUAUCGCCCGAGGAUGAGCCCGCGUUGGAUUAGCUAGUUGGUGGGGUAAAGGCCUACCAAGGCGACGAUCCAUAGCUGGUCUGAGAGGAUGGUCAGCCACACUGGGACUGAGACACGGCCCAGACUCCUACGGGAGGCAGCAGUGGGGAAUAUUGGACAAUGGGCGAAAGCCUGAUCCAGCAAUGCCGCGUGAGUGAUGAAGGCCUUAGGGUUGUAAAGCUCUUUUACCCGGGAUGAUAAUGACAGUACCGGGAGAAUAAGCUCCGGCUAACUCCGUG
rnacentral:rRNA from 1 species